GACGAACGCUGGCGGCGUGCUUAACACAUGCAAGUCGAACGAGUGGCGAACGGGUGAGUAACACGUGACCAACCCGCCCCCCCACCGGGACAACCUCGGGAAACCGAGGCUAAUACCGGAUAGGAGGGGACGGGCUCGCGGCCUAUCAGCUUGUUGGUGGGGUGAUGGCCUACCAAGGCGGUGACGGGUAGCCGGCCUGAGAGGGUGACCGGCCACAGUGGGACUGAGAUACGGCCCAGACUCCUACGGGAGGGAGCAGUGGGGGAUAUUGCACAAUGGGCGAAAGCCUGAGGCAGCGACGCCGCGUGGGGGAUGAAGGCGUUCGGGUUGUAAACCUCUUUCGCUAUCGAACGGGUAGGUGGAGAAGAAGCGCCGGCUAACUACGUGCCAGCAGCCGCGGUAAUAC
rnacentral:rRNA from 1 species